CAGCAGUCGCCGCGGGAAUACGUAGGGUGCAAGCGUUAAUCGGAAUUACUGGGCGUAAAGCGUGCGCAGGCGGUUUGUUAAGACAGAUGUGAAAUCCCCGGGCUCAACCUGGGAACUGCAUUUGUGACUGGCAAGCUAGAGUGUGGCAGAGGGGGGUGGAAUUCCGCGUGUAGCAGUGAAAUGCGUAGAUAUGCGGAGGAACACCGAUGGCGAAGGCAGCCCCCUGGGCCAACACUGACGCUCAUGCACGAAAGCGUGGGGAGCAAACAGGAUUAGAUACCCCAGUAGUCCCUGUCUCUUAUAA
rnacentral:rRNA from 1 species